AUGCAAUGGUGUGGACACUUCCUCAAAAGUUCUUUAUAUCUCUCCCAAGCCUCAUAUAAUGAUUCCCUUUUUUGCUGCACAAAUGGUGUGAUCUCUCCUCUUAAUUU